AGUUUCUCUCAACACCCUGUGUGCCCUGCUCCUUCUGGGUAGAACUUGAGACUUCAUUCUUACCAGCUUUGAGAGAUGGAGGCAGGCUGGCCGACCUUACUCUCCUGCUGCUAUGCCUCUCGCCAUCACGGACUCUGUCCCUCUGGAACCGGAAACCAAAACAAACCUUUCUUUGCUUCUUCACUGGCUUCUGGCCGUGGCAUUUUACCCUGGCAAUGGAAGAGCAGCCAGCAGUGUCCGACUCUGCCGUCUCUGAUCCAGACAACCCUAGCUCUGUGUCUUCCGUCUCACCAUUUGUCGUGCCCUGACCCACGAGUGUGAAUAGAGGAGACAAGUGGGUGUACAGAUGAAUUGCCGGGUUCUUUGCCUGUGUCCACCCAGAUCUCUAAGUUCCUUGCCGGUGCCCCCCACCCUGGAAACUGCAAGUGUUGGGUGGAGGUUGCCAGGAAGACACGAGGCUUUCUGAGCAAACGUGUGGAUGGCGCUGCCAAGGCAGAGGUACAGGUGGCCAUAUGAAAAUCUCCUUCCUGGAUCAUGUCUUCUGUGUCAUUGACUUCAUUCAAUAUGUUUCCUGGCCUGAUGAUUCAAAGAACACCAAGGCACAGCAAAAGAGCAUCCACUGAAUAUAAUCAGGAGUUACCUACUUGAGCUAUAAC